rnacentral:rRNA from 1 species
GCGGACGGGUGAGUAACACGUGGGUAACCUGCCUGUAACACUGGGAUAACUCCGGGAAACCGGAGCUAAUACCGGAUAGUUCCUUGAACCGCAUGGUUCAAGGAUGAAAGACGGUUUCGGCUGUCACUUACAGAUGGACCCGCGGCGCAUUAGCUAGUUGGUGAGGUAACGGCUCACCAAGGCGACGAUGCGUAGCCGACCUGAGAGGGUGAUCGGCCACACUGGGACUGAGACACGGCCCAGACUCCUACGGGAGGCAGCAGUAGGGAAUCUUCCGCAAUGGACGAAAGUCUGACGGAGCAACGCCGCGUGAGUGAUGAAGGUUUUCGGAUCGUAAAGCUCUGUUGUUAGGGAAGAACAAGUGCAAGAGUAACUGCUUGCACCUUGACGGUACCUAACCAGAAAGCCACGGCUAACUACGUGCCAGCAGCCGCGGUAAUACGUAGGUGGCAAGCGUUGUCCGGAAUUAUUGGGCGUAAAGGGCUCGCAGGCGGUUUCUUAAGUCUGAUGUGAAAGCCCCCGGCUCAACCGGGGAGGGUCAUUGGAAACUGGGAAACUUGAGUGCAGAAGAGGAGAGUGGAAUUCCACGUGUAGCGGUGAAAUGCGUAGAGAUGUGGAGGAACACCAGUGGCGAAGGCGACUCUCUGGUCUGUAACUGACGCUGAGGAGCGAAAGCGUGGGGAGCGAACAGGAUUAGAUACCCUGGUAGUCCACGCCGUAAACGAUGAGUGCUAAGUGUUAGGGGGUUUCCGCCCCUUAGUGCUGCAGCUAACGCAUUAAGCACUCCGCCUGGGGAGUACGGUCGCAAGACUGAAACUCAAAGGAAUUGACGGGGGCCCGCACAAGCGGUGGAGCAUGUGGUUUAAUUCGAAGCAACGCGAAGAACCUUACCAGGUCUUGACAUCCUCUGACAACCCUAGAGAUAGGGCUUUCCCUUCGGGGACAGAGUGACAGGUGGUGCAUGGUUGUCGUCAGCUCGUGUCGUGAGAUGUUGGGUUAAGUCCCGCAACGAGCGCAACCCUUGAUCUUAGUUGCCAGCAUUCAGUUGGGCACUCUAAGGUGACUGCCGGUGACAAACCGGAGGAAGGUGGGGAUGACGUCAAAUCAUCAUGCCCCUUAUGACCUGGGCUACACACGUGCUACAAUGGACAGAACAAAGGGCUGCGAGACCGCAAGGUUUAGCCAAUCCCACAAAUCUGUUCUCAGUUCGGAUCGCAGUCUGCAACUCGACUGCGUGAAGCUGGAAUCGCUAGUAAUCGCGGAUCAGCAUGC